CCGUUGGAUCAAGAACGGCAAAAAGUUCGAAUGGCAAACGUACGACGACCGGAUGUCCCAGCAGCCGGGGCGUGGUACGCUGGUAAUUACGUCACCGCGCGACGAAGAUCUCGGCCAGUACCAGUGCUUCGCGGAGAACGAGCACGGUACCGCCACCUCCAACUCGGUGUUUGUGCGCAAGGCGGAGCUGAACUCGUUCAAGGACGGGUCGCCCCAAACGCUGCAGGCGGACGAGGGCAAACCGUUCAAGCUGGUGUGCCAGCCGCCGGACGGCUGGCCGAAGCCGAACGUCUACUGGAUGAUCCAGAACAUGGACGGCGGCAUCCGGAGCAUCAACAACUCGCGCAUGACGCUCGACCCGGAGGGCAACCUGUGGUUCUCGAACGUGACGCGCGACGACGAAUCGAACGACUUCUUCUACGCCUGUGCCGCCUCGUCCGUGUUUCGCAGCGAGUACAAGAUCGGCAACCGGGUGCUGCUGCAGGUAAAGCAGACGGGCAUCUCGGCGGCCCAGAACCGGCACCCGCCCCAGCGCCAGUACGUGUCGCGCAAGAACGAGGUCGCGCUGAAGGGCAAGCAGAUCGAGCUGUUCUGCAUCUACGGCGGCACGCCGCUGCCCGAGACGGUGUGGACGAAGAACGGGCGCGCGAUCGUGUGGAACGACAAGAUCCAGCAGGACAACUACGGCAAGUCGCUCAAGAUACGGCGCGUCUCGUCGGAGGAUGCGGGCACGUACACGUGCGAGGUGUCGAACGGCGUCGGGCAGGCGGACUCGUACUCGAUCAACCUGGCGGUGAACGCGGUGCCGUACUUUACGGUCGAGCCGGAGAUCGUGAACGCGGCGGAGGGCGAGACGGCCGAGUUUAAGUGCGAGGCGGCCGGCAACCCGAAGCCGAACAUCAUGUGGAUCCACAACGGCAAGCAGAUCGACGUGAGCCAGAGCAAUGCGCGCCGCAUCGUCGGCUCGUCCAGCAUCUACAUCAGCAAGCUGCAGAAGAGCGACACGGGCAACUACGGCUGUAACGCGACCAACUCGCUCGGCUACGUGUACAAGGACGUGUACCUGAACGUGCUGGCGCUCGCGCCGGAAAUUACCGAUCCGCCCAAGCGCGAGUUCACCGUCGACCAGCGCAACGUGACGAUGACGUGCCGGGUGUUCGGUGCGCCGAAGCCGCAGGUCAAGUGGCUGCGGAACGACCGCGAGCUGACCGGCGGCCGGUACCAGACGAUGCCGAGCGGCGACCUGUUCAUCCGCGACGUGAAGUUUGACGACGCGGGCGAGUACACGUGCCACGCGGUGAACAAUCUCGGCAGCAAGUCGGCGUCCGGCGAGCUGAUCGUGAAGGAGCGCACGGUCAUCAACGAUCCGCCGCAGGACUACGAGGCGGAGGCGGGCACGACCGUCACGUUCCGGUGCAACGCGAUCGCCGACUCGUCGCUCGAGCUGACGAUCGAGUGGCUGACCAAGGGCGAGAUCAUCGAUUUCGAGAACCAGCCGCGCUUCAUCCGCACCUCCGACAACUCGCUGAUGAUUUCGAAGACGAUCGAGCUGGACACGGGCACCUACACCUGUCUCGCCCGCACCGACCUGGACGAGGUGAUGGCGAACGCGACGCUCACCGUGAUGGACCGGCCGAACCCGCCGACGCUGACGCGCGUCAACUGCAAGGGCAAGGUGGCCCAGAUCGAGUGGAUCUCGAACGGCGACAACCGGUCCCCGAUCCUGAACUACAUCAUCGAGUACAACACCUCGUUCACGCCCGACACGUACGACGUGCUGUCGGACGACGUGCCCGGCACGGACUUUGCCUGGACGGUGAACACCACGCCCUGGAACAACUACACCUUCCGCGUGAUCGCGGUGAACAAGGUCGGCCGGUCGCUGCCGUCCGGCCACAGCGACGUCUGCACGACCGAGUCGAGCGUGCCGUACAAAAACCCGGACAAUCUCGAGGGCGAAGGCACGACGCCGACCAAUCUCGUAAUUAAGUGGCGCCCGCUCGCGCAGGUCGACCACAACGCGCCCGGCCUGCACUAUCGCGUCUACUGGCGGCGGGACAUACCCGGCGCGGAGUGGAACUCGGCGGACGUGCGCGACUGGCGCCAGUCGUCCUACACGGUCGAAGGUUUGCCGACGUUCACGCGCUACAGCGUGAAGGUGGUGGCGCUGAACGAUCGCGGCGAGGCGAACUCGGGCCCGUGGGAAAUCAUGGCGUACAGCGGGGAGGACACGCCGCUCGAUGCGCCGGCCAACUUUACGCUGAUCCAGGUGACGGGACCGACGGCGGCCAUCCUCAGCUGGAACCCGGUGACGCCCGAAUCGCUGCGCGGCCACUUCAAGGGCUACAAGAUCCAAACCUGGACCGAGGCGGACGGCGAGGAGAACCUGCGCGAGAUACUGAUCACCGCCGACUCGAAGCAGGCGCUCGUGACGGACUUCGUGCCGGACGCGACCAACUACGCCCGCAUCCUCGCGUACAACGGCCGGUACAAUGGGCCGGCCAGCACGACGCUGUCGUUCGACACGCCCGAGGGCGUGCCGAACACGAUCCAGGCGCUCGAGGCGUACCCGCUCGGGUCGUCCGCGUUCCUGCUGCGCUGGAAGAAACCGCUGCAACCGAACGGCAAGCUCACCGGCUACCGGAUCUACUACGAGGAGGUGAAGGGCACGACGGUGGGCCCGCGGAUGGAGCGCGAACCGCACAUCUCCGAUCCGGCCGUGCUGGAGGCGAAGCUGGGCCGCCUGAAGCCGGCUGCCAAGUAUCGUAUUCACGUCGUCGCCACCACCAAGGCUGGCGAAGGGCAAGACUUCUACAUCGAGCGGGCCACCUCGUCCGGGCUGGGUCUGCCACCGGACGUACCCAACUUCUACUGGGAAAACAUCCGGUCGGAGAACGGGCUCGCCAACAUCAAGGUCGUGUGGCAGCCGGCCCUCGGCGGCAAGGCCGGCUCGCACUUCUACGUCAAGUACCGCGUCAAGGACGAGUCGAGCUGGCAGACGACCGAUCCGGAGCUGUACGAAAACUAUCUGAUCGUGCACGGCAUCAACCCGGACCAUCUGUACGAGUUCCGGGUCGUGUCGGUCGACGGCGAAUAUCAGACGGAAUCGGCCACGCAGGAAGUCGACACCUACGGCAUCCAGAGCUCCGUGAAGGUGCCGGGCGAUAACAUUGCGACGGCCGGCUGGUUCAUCGGCAUGAUGCUGGCGAUCGCGUUCCUCAUACUGGUGCUGAUCAUCAUCUGCAUCGUGAAGCGCAACCGGGGCGGCAAAUACGACGUGCACGAUCGGGAGCUGGCCAACGGCCGCAACGACUACACCGAGGAGGGCGGCUUCCCGGAGUACUCGCAACCUGUUUUACGUGAUUACAGUUUGGACAAUAAAAGCCAGGGCCGACAAUCGCUGAACUCGCAAAAAGUAGGACCGGAAAGUGAUACAGAUUCCAUGGCGGAAUACGGUGAAGGUGAUACAGAAGGUAUGAAUGAGGACGGUUCCUUCAUUGGACAGUACGGCCGGAAGGGUGGCAAAAACGCGGAUAGCAAUUCGCAGGCGUUCGCAACACUAGUUUAGUGAGGGAUAUGUGUGUGUUUUUUUUAGGGAAAAAAAUCGUUGUAGAGCUACACCACUUCUUCUUUUUUUUGGUCCAAACUUCUAGCGUGUAUACGUACGCGCUCACCUAUCCCCCCUUUUUGUUUGCCCGCGCAACAGUAGCGUACAGAUUGUAGAGUAAAUGUGGAUUGGAAACGAAAGCCGAAUUCAUGUUAGCGCUACGAAAGAAGAAUGUAUUAGGAUUAAAAAGAGUAACAGGAACGGCGAGAGUUGGGAAAAGGGGGGGAGUAUGAUUAAGGGACAGUUACAGUUCAAAAGCACCGUUCAACAAGGUUAAUUUGAAAAUUUUAUAUCGAAAUGAUGCUCUCCAAUAUCGAUUCUCUGUAAUUAUGGAUUGAGUUUCAAAGCUAACUGAAACAAACUUAUAAAAAUCCACAACCGCUACUUUCCUUUCCCACCUCUUCCCACACAUCAACUCUCCCUCCAACUGCGUCGAACUAGUUUUUUUUGCGCAAUAAAAAAAGAAAUAAGAAAGCCACUACACUAGCUAGUAAGCAAUCGAAGCGAUGCAAAAUGGCCCCAAUAAAAACGGGCUGGGGAAGAAUAUUGGUGUGUUAGUCCGGGAACCGCACGAUACCCCUUUUUUAUCUUUCCGGCCACCUCUCGGCCGGCGGAUGGGAAGGAAAACCCGUUGUUUUUUAUUUUAAGUUUAGGUGUACACACACAAACACACACAUCAAUCGCGCACGUGAAAUGAUGCGUUUGUGUUAGGAUGUAGUUUUAAAUGUCAGUCGCGCUCGGCGGGGUGUGAAGAAAAAACAUUGUGAAAACUAGUGAGCAAAAUCAAAAGUGAAAUCAUCACACAGCAUAAUUAUGCGUUUGUUUGUUUGUUUUUCUUCUCGUAUUAGUGAGCGCAAUAUAUUGUUGUAAAAACCCACCCCGUAUAGAGUUUUGAACAUAGAUUACUGGAGAGAUCACACACAAAACAAAUGCUGGUAGAAAAUGAAGAAUUGAAGUUUUACAUUUAAUUGAAAUAGGACCACCCGGGCGGGCCGGUAGGAUUAGCAUAGCAUAGUGCAACGAAUCGAAAUAAUUCACGGAACAUCACAGCAAGCACACACAAACUCUCUAGAGAGAGCGUACGUUUUGCGCCGCUAAAAUUCUUUUAUCUGUAGAAUGUUGUUCACAAGCGUACAAGAUAGCACGUCCAAGAAAAGAGGGGGGGGGGGGGGGGUAUGGGAGAGAACUACUGCGAAUUUGCUGUCCUUGAUCCGCCGCCCAAACAUACCGUCUACACCUUGUCCCGGGGUGUUGAGCGGGUUCCGUGAACAAAAAAAUAUAAAAUAGCAGAAAUCAUUACAACGCGACGACUCCAUCACGACCAUCACGCACGACGCCACCUUCUCAAUCAUCGAAAACACAACACCGCCGAGCAAUGAAAACCGUAAAAAGAAGAAGCCGUAGAAGGUGUCCCAGUUAUCAGUGUUCCGUUUUUGCUGGUUUUUGUUUCACGGAUUAUGGUUUUUUUUUCGGUUAUCCGGGCAGCGACCACCCUCAAGCUCUUUCCCCUCUCCAAACGCUUCCGCGUUGCACUGAGCGCACGCAAUUAUGUGUAGGUGGCCAGUUCCCGAGGUGGCUCCUUCAUUGGCCAGUACGUGCCGGGCAAGCCGCCCGUUAGCGCACAGUCGACGCCGCAGAAUCCAUCGCUCCAGGGCGCCAACGCAGGCAUGGCAACGUACGUCUAAAAAGUGUGUGUGCUCGUGUGCAACCACACACACGCGCGCGCGCGCGCGUCACAAGAUCAUCUUUCACCUGGGCAGAGAGCAACCUCGACUACAGUGUUUAAAACGACGGCAGCAGCAACAGCAGCACAACACACGCGCUUGUAGCACACUACGAAGCCACUCACUCGCGAGGAGAAACUAUUUGAAAAUGUUAGGAAAUACUUAAUGCAUACAGCGAGAGUAAGGCAGAGAGAGAAAGGAAGAAAGGGCGAGCGAAUGCUAGAAGGAGGGAUUAAUUUGCAAGACACUGCCCGCGCAUCUGAUGAAAACGUUAAGAAUUUAAUCGGCUUUGAGAUAGAGUAAAACUUCCCUCCAUCUCUCUCGCUCUCUCUCUCUCUCUCUCUUAAGUAAUUCCGAAUUUGUUUUUCGUUUCUCGGCAACAGAUGAGUGAAUAGUGAAAUCACAAGACACAAAAGGAACAACACACAGCCGUUCGUGUUAGGGAAAAGCGCUUUUAAAAAGAGAAAGCUGUUGACGAUUGCUAGCAAAAGUAUUAAACAACGUAGCGGCGGGAGAAGGAUACGGGAAAAGCUUGUCGCGCCAAACCCCAUUGUCAGUGAAUGAUCAUCGAACCAUACAGAGAGCGUGGGAAAGAGGAGAGGGGUGUGUUGUGGCGUUUUUCGUUUUUUUUUUUUUUCAUUCUUUCUGUACCACUUAGUGUGAAACGAUCGCAAAGGAUGCGAGAAACGCUUGAUGGUGUAUUAUUUUUUGAUUUUCUAUUCAUUUUGCUUUUUCAUUUUUACCGUGAAAACCAUCUGGUUUAAGAAUCUCAGCGUUUAAAACGUCUAGAAAGGUCAAGGGCGGCACAGACACACAGAUUUAGCAAUCGUUCUUACUUGAGGCCACUGCCCCGUGUGUGUGUGUGUGUGUGUGUGUGUGGGAACCGGCCCCGUAAGCUUAAUGAUUCUGUGCAUUAGCGAAGCGCAUACACAUAUACAGAAAAUCUCGAUACAGAAAUCCACACCUCACUUUUUCAUCAAAGACUAGAAACUGAAUCUCAUCCAAUCUUUUUUUUUUUUUUUUAAUUUCGACACACGAACUCCGCGCACAAUGAAAAUCUCGUUCGUUUGCAAAACAUUUGCUUUCCACGGUAAAAACACGAAAAAGGAUGCAGGGCAAGGUGUGUGUGUGUGUGUGUGUGGCGUUGCUGUGUCGGGAGUUUUUGCGCGAGGGGGUUCAAUUCAACACAAUCUUGAAACUUUGUUACGUCCAAAUUGUAAUCUUACGUGUAAAUUUUACACUCACGCUCUCCACGAUUUUACGAUUUAACGCUACGUGUUGUUGUUGGUAUAGGUUGCGAAAACCAAACUCUGAGACGCCUUUUAUUGUAGGAAAAGCAAAACACGAACUCUCUCUCUCUUAUUUUGCUAUGAAUAUUGUUAUCGUCGCCCUAAGUGUUAGUGCAGCUUCAGUUGAAAAAUAGCGAAACCCAACGGAGGCAACAACGAAACUCUAGAUUUGUGCAGCUAUAACUACUAAGUGUCAGGUUGUUGUUAUAUUUUACGUGUACGUUGCAUCUCAUCCCCCCCACCCCCCCCCCCCCCGUUUUUCGCUUGUUUUGUAAAACCUUUCGUGGUGUAAAACCUCGGUCCGAGCGAAGUGUGUCGCUUUGUGCCUGUGGUCUUUAAGCCCUCCAAAUAGGGCUGUUGUGCACUGGAGACGGCGGAAGCGCCCAAUACAAGUGAGAUGAAUCUCUUCUAACAAUACACAGAAGAAACAAAAACAGCAACAAAACAACUCCCAUACAAUAUAUAACAAAGUAACGAAACGAACGAACCACUUGGCGUGUCGUGGUAGCAAAUCGUGUGUCGGUUUUAUGUAAGAUCUAGCGCGAAAAGUAAACGAGAGAAACAAUAUUUGUUCUUUCAUUCCCAUUACAAACACUCUCCCACACAGCAGCACACACACCCGUUGUGCGAAAGUGCGAAGCAGAAAAUCUUUAUCUUUAACAUAAUUUAUAAAUAAAACAUUACUAGGAACUGUA